UGGGCGUAAAGCGCGCGCAGGCGGUUCUUUAAGUCCGGUGUUUAAGCCCGGGGCUCAACCUCGGGACGCACGGGAAACUGGGGGACUGGAGUGCAGGAGAGGGAAGCGGAAUCCACGUGUGGCGGUGAAAUGCGUAGAGAUGUGGAGGAACACCAGUGGCGAAGGCGGCUUCCUGGCCUGUAACUGACGCUGAGGCGCGAAAGCGUGGGGAGCAAACAGGAUUAGAUGCCCUGGUAGUCCACGCCGUAAACGAUGAAUGCUAGGUGUCAGGGGUGUUAGAGCCCUUGGUGCCGAAGUUAACACAUUAAGCAUUCCGCCUGGGGAGUACGGUCGCAAGACUGAAACUCAAAGGAAUUGACGGGGACCCGCACAAGCAGUGGAGCAUGUGGUUUAAUUCGAAGCAACGCGAAGAACCUUACCAGGUCUUGACAUCCCUCUGACCGGUCUAGAGAUAGGCCUUUCCUUCGGGACAGAGGAGACAGGUGGUGCAUGGUUGUCGUCAGCUCGUGUCGUGAGAUGUUGGGUUAAGUCCCGCAACGAGCGCAACCCUUGAAUCCAGUUGCCAGCACGUUAGGGUGGGCACUCUGGAUUGACUGCCGGUGACAAACCGGAGGAAGGUGGGGAUGACGUCAAAUCAUCAUGCCCCUUAUGACCUGGGCUACACACGUGCUACAAUGGCCGGUACAACGGGCUUGCGAAGCGGUGACGCGGAGCGAAUCCUUCAAAGCCGGUCUCAGUUCGGAUUGCAGGCUGCAACUCGCCUGCAUGAAGUCGGAAUUGCUAGU
rnacentral:rRNA from 1 species